rnacentral:lncRNA from 1 species
UUCUGCUCAAGAUUCAGAUUCCAGGGAAAGAACAUUCUCUCAGCCAAGCCUUGGAAAAGAUUAAUGAUACAAAUCACUAAUGUUUAUGGUGUGUUCAUUUUCUACCAGGCACUGUUCUAAGCACUAUAUUUACACAUAUUUUCUUCUCACAGUAACCCUGUGAGACAGAUACUAUUAUGAUUAAGAAACUGAGCUGAAGAGUUUGAAUUUCCAGUCCAAGUUUGCACAGAUGUUCUGGUGGCAGAGCUGGGAUUCAAGCUGAGGUACUAUGGUGUCCCCAUGCUAUACUCUCUCUAAUAUCAACAAGGAAGGACCAGUCCCCCAUAGCAGAAUUUUGAUGUGAUGAGGAAGAGGGAUGGAUACUAAGAGAGAAAAGCCACAGAGGCUUCCUCCUGGCUUGGUUCUGCUGGAAGGAAAGGAGAGAAUUUUUGAGGUUACUUCAUGCCCAAGAAUUCCACAUGCAAGUUUCUAGCCUUACCCUCUGGCCAUUGCAAGGAGAAAAUUUUAAAAAGCAAGGGGCUAAAAAAAUAUAUUAAAUAACGAAAGUACUAUAACAAAAGGAAUGGCUGAAAUACAGAUAUAAGAGAAUAAUUUCUGAACAAGAAACAACCAAAUGACAAAAUUCUAAGAGAAUAAAAGGCAUGCCGACAAAGGAUGAAUUGAAAGACAGCAAAGAAAAGAUUCCAAAUGCUGAAGAACUUUGAGGAACUGAAAUUGGUUGGAACAAAGCAGAGACCAAUUUCUCACAAAUAUUAAAGACCUAACGUGAUGCUCUAGGAAUUUUAAGAGGCUAAACCCAUUGUGGUUCAGAGUGAGAGUUUGGAGACAGGCUGCAGGGAUUAAAUCCUGCCUCCAGUACCACCAAGUUGUAUCACCUUGGAAAAGUUACCUGAUCUCUCUGAGGCCCAGUAUCCUUAUCUGUGCAAUUUUAAUAAUGCCGAUGUCAGAGGAAUGUUGAGAGGGUGAAACGAUGUGUAAGAAUGUGUUAAGCGUCGUGCCUGGCACAGAGCAGGUGCCUACUAAAUAUAUUAGCUGCUCAACCACUCUGUGUUAGCCCACCCAAUGUGGUCUCAGGACAAGCACACAGGAGCACCCAUGGUUGGGUGCCCGCAACCAGCCUCUCCUGGGGAAUGGUAAGCAGAGACCCUAGAGCAGCAGAGAUCUGGAUCCUGCAUGGAAGCUAGGGAAAGCUGUGCUGUCCACAGAUGAAAGCAGGCAGGCACAGCCCUCCACAGAUUGGCGAUCAGGGUGAGGAGAGGAGAAACAUCCCAGGAGUCUGAGAGAGUGCAUAGAAGAACACCAGAAACCAAGCUCUGAGACAACGGUCUGCCUAGAAUAGAAUCACAAGAACUCCUCUUUGUGUAGUUCUCGGAAAACCCCUUGAAAUUUCCAAGGAGCUGAGAACAGAGCCCUGAGCUGGCAAUUAAGACCCCUGGGUUCUGGCUUCUGCUGAUGCCAACUAGGCUCUGGGGCCCUGGGUUGUCAUUUAUACUUUCAGGGUCUCAAUUUCCUUGUCUGAAAACAUGGGGAUAAUGAUCCACCUCAAACCACAGGGCUGAAGAUGAAAUGAGGCGAUGCCUCUAUAGCACUGGGCACAUGGUAGAUGGUGAAUGAACGCUGUCCUCCCUCCCACCCAUUGUUAUGAAACAAUAACACAUCAGAGAGUCCCCGGGAGCCAGAAGAAUAUGGUAAGCGGAUGCUUUUUGAAUUCGGUCCCCAGCGCAUCCCCGUCUUCUAGGGAAUCCUUAUCUUUAACUGGCCUCACUGUCCAGGAUGACCUCUGCACCCCACCCCAUCCUACCUUGUCUACUAAAACCUUUUAUCCUUCAAAACCAAGCUGAAAUGUCACUACCUCAAGCAUCUGUUUCUGGAAAUUCCCUCAGCACAUGACUUGUUCUCUAAUUUUGUACUUAUUUCCCUCUGCCUUGGGUCAUAAUUAGUUCUUGAAGGCAGAGACCAUCUUAUUCGCCUUGGCGUUAGUCACGGUCUAGGCUGCAUCACAUAGUUCUUUUUAGCACUUUAUGCUCAUGGGGGUCUGGGAGCCUCCUGUUCCCUGAAUUCCUGUCUCCAUCUGGAACAACACCUAGUGACUCCAUUUUGGUCUCACACAAUAUUCCCCAAGAAGGGAGGAGGAAUUCUUUAGUUGGGAAAUUUAGGAACAAGAACUGAGCACCCAGGGUUGACUUAUCCAUUCAGGGUCCACAAUGCUUUUAGGGGCCUACCCUAAACCUAAAACAUGCUUUAAUUUCUUUUAAAAUAAGAAAAAAAUAGAAAUGUUUCAGAUAGGUCAAAGAAUGUGUUUUAAAAUAUAAUAUUAAUAUAUUCACCUUAAUGCCAAUGCAUAUAUAGAUUUUAAUAUUUUUUUAUGGAAGAAGGGGCCCCGGAAGGUUGAAAGUGCCUCUGACAGACACAAGUCAGGAUGCAGCUCCAUGGUCAAGGGUAGCCCAGCCCGUCCCUCCCUUCCUCCUGUGGAGCUGCCUUGCCUGUGGGCUUGCUCCUCCAUGCUCACUACUUGACAGGGGUAUAUCCAUCCAGCAUUGCCAGGUGACUGGGGAGAAAAGCCAAGCUGCCAUACCCCCUAAGCUAAGCCUUUCAUCAAUAAGAAAAGAUAUUGACCUCCUUACUCCUGGUCCCUGUACCAUUUUCUCCCAUUUUUCCUAGCUUGAGCAGAGAAUGGGGAUAUCAUUUAUUGGCCCCUUGAGAUCAUUAUAUUAAUCCUUUAAAUGACCUUGUCGGGUGAGUAUGAUCUUUAGUCAACAGAGGAAGGCACUCAAGAACAGAGAGGUUAAAGAAUUUGGUCGAUGUCAAGCAGUUAACAAACAGGUUUAGAACCCAGACUUUUGGACUCCAACUUAAAGUUCCUUUCUUUUACUGCACUCUGUACGGUUAUCAGGCAGCACAGAACUUGGUUGAAAUUUUCCAAAAUUGUUGACUUGGCAAUUAUAAGCUUCAGGUGAGACCUUUAACUUUCACCAUUCCCUCAAUAAAUAAUAAAGUUGCAAUCUAUUUUCCUGCCUUGAAGAAGCACCAUCAGUUGGAAUAUAUUUUGACAUUAUCUUCUGCUGUCUUUGUAAGGAACAGAUUAGGGGGAAAGAUCCUUUACUUGUCAGAGUACUUAGGAAAAAAUAUAAUGUUUGGUUUUCAUGGAGACAAGGAGAAAUAUGAAUAAUCAUGUACUUUUUUUGAAAUUAAAUUUCUAUCCCAGGAGGCCAACACUCAUGAUUAGCCCUUUCUACUGCCUCUGGCCUGCAAUCUUCUGCACUGAGCCUUAGAAAGGGAAAGAGGCUUGAGAUGAAACUGACGAAUGGCUGUGCUUGUGCUAUUAUUCCAACAGGAAUCUGUUUCCUCUCAAACAAAGGCUCAGUAGUAGAUCACUGAUCAAGUUUAGAAUCUUCAAACAUUUGCCAAAUGAAAUGUUUUGGAGAGAAGAGAAUCUCCUGCUCUCCUUGUCAGAUGGAAUUCCAAGACUCUUGGGCAAGAUGAAGUAAAGGAUUUGCAGAAGGAGGGUCCCGAAUUUCCACAUCGAAUUGCCACACAUUCCUGCUUCACCUUGUUCCUACCCACUGACCCCAGCUAAGGUUAAGUUCGAAUCACCCAAGUGCCUACAGCCCCUUCACAGCAGAUUCAGACAAGGUGUUGGGUAAGCCAGGUGAUGUUUUCUAAACUAGACUUAUGUUCACAAAAUAUUCUAGAAUGUGGCUUCACAAAUACAGGUGAACCAUCUGGCCAGCCUCGGUUUGCUCUCUUUGCUGUGAGUGCUAGAAAUGUUGCAUUCUCUUCUCUCACUCAGGUUUCACACACGUAAUAAACUCUUUUUUCUGCCCCUUCAUCCUAUGAGACUGUGAGCUCCAUGAAGAUAAGGGCAAAGUCUGUCUUGUUUACAGCUUUGAACAGUGUGUGGCUGUACAGAUCAGAGGUUAAAAGCCUGGGUUCGAGGCAAAGACAGACCAGGGUUUGAAUUUUACCGAGCUACUGACUCAUUGCCUGACUUACAGUGAUUCCUAUUACUCAGUUUUUUCCCAAGUAAAAGGGGGUGAUAAAAGUUCUUAUGUCACUGAGCUGUUGUGAAGGUUAAAUUAGCCCACACAUGUAAAGCAUUUACGUUGGCCCCUGGCACUUUAUGGGUGCUUAGUAAAUAUUCAUACUGCUAUUAUAUUAAGCACCAAAUGAGUAUUUUGUGUCAAGUCCUUUUUUUAAUGAGAGUGAGCUCAGGCAAGAGGAAUGCAUGAGACUAAGGGAAAUUCUUCUCCAGCCAAGUGGGAUGUUUCCUGAUUGGCUUCUGGGGGGGUCCUUACCUGAAGCCACAGGGGCGCAUGAGCAGAUCCUAAGUAGUCCUGGGGCGCCAGCACCUGUGAUGUUAACUCUCACCUCCCUCUGCACGCACCCCCAGAGCAGCCAGAACUGAGACCCUUUGUGCCCCCAAGAACCUGAUCCAGGGAGAUGGGCAAGACGAAGUAAAGGAUUUGCAGAAGGAGAGUCCCGAAUUUCCACAUCGAAUUGCCACACAUUCCUGCCUCACUUUGUGGGUCAGCACAGGGGCAGGACUGCAAUUGGGAAGGGAGCUGUCUUCCAAAUGGAGAUUGUGUGUGUGUGUGUGUUGUCAGGGGUACAGGUUGAGAUGAGGGACCAAUGUAAGGGUGCCCCAGUAUUAAAACACUGAGACACGCAGUACAAAUGUGGUGAAUUGGAUAGUUUUGUGAAACUAAAGGUAAUGAGGUCUACACACACGAAAGGUGUUACCCAAGUGUCAAAGUACUUGAUUGUCCUCAAAAGACUAAAUUGUCCCAGAUUUGAACAUUUUCUGGCAUUGCCUAGUUGUAGUCGGUCCUAUGAAAUAUCCAAGAAGCACUAGAACUCAACCACAAACAAAAAUCUAAAAUGCUGCAUUUAAAAACAUGUAUUAGAAGGGGUUCCCUUUGUGGCGCAGGGGAAACGAAUCCGACUAGUACCCAUGAGGAUGCAGGUUUGAUCCCUGGCCUCGCUCAGUGGGUUAAGGAUCUGGCAUUGCUGUGAGCUCUGGUGUAGGUUGCAGACACGGCUCGGAUCCCACGUUGCUGUGACUGUGGCGUAGGCCAGCAGCUGUAGCUUCAGUUUGACCCCUAGCCCCAGAACUUCCAUAUGCCUCAGGUGCCG